CUUGACUUCCUGUUAGCUACUUCAUGACUGAAAGACUGCAUGGCUGUUCGUUGCCUAUCUGAAUUCCAAUUUAAUUACCAUCCAUAGGAGAGCGCGAUCGACAGACGGCUGCCGCUGAUCAGACAGCCAAUUUAGAGACCCACUCAUUGACUCAACGGUCAGGUUUUUUUGCCAGAUUCAUUCCAGUGACGCACAUGGAUCGGAAGUCACGGCCGACCUGGAGUUGAAGCUUUCCGGUUGAAUUGGGAUUGGAUGUUCGUACCCUGAAACCCCCGAAAGAUUCCCAGCUUACGUUGGGUGGCGAGCCACGGACCCACGAGCAUAAGUCAAUGCGCAGUCUCACUUUCCCUUCUUCACGGAUUGUGUGGUAGUAUCCACGAGCACUGGCAUACUGAUACUGUCACGACACUGAUUCAACCAAAGAAAAAAAGGGCCCCAACGAGCAAUAAGACUAUAUUUGGAACUGGGUUUUAUUUCUUUUGUUUUAAGGGAAACUUAUGCCGGCUUUAUUAUUUUCUUAUUUCUUUAUGUACAUUCUCUGAACUAAAUUGUUACACUGUUGUUAUUGUUCCUGUUGUUAAACAAAGAGUGAUCACAAUAACGCAAA